rnacentral:tRNA from 1 species
GUCACAGUGGUCUAGUGGUAUGACGUUUCCUUAGCAUGGAAAAGGUUCUGGGUUCGAUUCCCAGCUUCUCCA